GGUGAGGGUUCACGAUCCGCUCCUUCUGAACUCCCCCAGGGUAGAAAUACAGCAAGGGUAGGAAGUUGAGCGAUGCGAUGGACUCUUACCAUU
rnacentral:SRP_RNA from 1 species